UACGGAGGGUGCAAGCGUUAUCCGGAUUCACUGGGUUUAGAGGGUGCGUAGGCGGGUUGGAAAGUCCGUGGUGAAAUCCCCAAGCUUAACUUGGGAACUGCCGUGGAUACUCUCAAUCUUGAAUGUCGUGGAGGUAAGCGGAAUAUGUCAUGUAGCGGUGAAAUGCUUAGAUAUGACAUAGAACACCAAUUGCGUAGGCAGCUUACUACACGAUUAUUGACGCUGAGGCACGAAAGCGUGGGGAGCAAAC
rnacentral:rRNA from 1 species